rnacentral:tRNA from 1 species
CGAUCUUCUCGGCGGGCGCCGGCGGCAGCGCCGGCUUGGCGCCGGCCUUCUGGGCCUCAGCGUCGGGACGCGCCGGCUCCGGCGCCGGCGUGGUCGGCC